GCAGGGCCCCAGGGAUGUGGUCCCGCAGGUUAGGUUGUAGGAGCGACUAGCAUAAAUAAUCCGGGCGAAAACCUCCUGGAGAGAUCCCAAAAACCAAGGUGACCUGUGUGCGUGGGCGAUCCGUUGGCUGAGUGACAGAAAUGCUGAAGAAAGCCAGGAAGAGGAUCUGCGUGGGAGGUGGAAAAAGCGUGGGCUGAGCUUGCAGCAACCAAAAGGCGCCACACACGUGUGCGAGGAACCCGCGGCGCUCGGUGUGGGCUGACAGGAAGCACCGCCCCACUAGGACACAUCAAGUUUUCUCUUAAGCAGUUUCAAACCCAGCGCGCUUUCCACGUGUAAGUACAAAUGAGAUGGGUGUCAAAUAACCAUAGCGCUUGUUCGGAUUUCUAUCUUUUCUCUUCUUGGGUCUAGCUCCUGUGUAGAGCUUGCCCACCUCUACCACAGCUCUCCCAUUUUCCUAACGCUUUCCUGGGCGGGGUUUCUGGGCCCCGCCCACCGAGGGCCCGCCCAGUAGCCGCCCCGGGGCGGGGCUCCCCUCGGCUCCCGACUGCCCUUUUCCCCUGCGGUCUCUGCCCCGGCUGCUGUGUCUCUACCGAGCUCCGGACACGUGCAGGAGCAUCCAGCCGUGAACUUUCAAGCAGAUGCAGCCCCAGGAUGACUCAAAAGUAGGGCAUCCUUGGCCCUCCUGAAGAGAUGAAAUUAGUGGCAAGUGGACCAUCUAUCUGUAUGGCGUUAUCAGAUCCCAAUCCCUAGAUCCCAAGCACAGUGCCCAGCACAUGGCAAGAACUCUCAGUGUUGGAUAAAAUGACUGACGGCAUGGGAAAGGGUUUCCUGUUUCCUGUUUGUUUCAAGGUUUUGACAGCAGGGUCUGCAAUCAGUGCUUCCAGGCCUCUGUUUUGCAGUCAAUGUUCAAUUCAUGGGGAUACCUUCUGAAAUAAGUAAGAAAACUGUUUCAGGAAUCAUCCAGCAGUUGUCAGCUAUCCAGGCUAGCGUGAUGCCUCAGAUGGUGUUACACUGUUGGAAGAGCAAGCACUGCCUUUAUUGAGGUCUGACUUCAGCACUGUUUUGGUGUUGUGGCUGAGUACCUCUGGGCAGUGUUUUGCACCUCUGAGAGUGGAGUAACUCCUCCUGUGGAGUUGGUCCUAGUCUGGGUGCAAACAGUUUUUUUCUAUUAGAAAAAGACCCUGCCUUAUGGACAGCCUGUCAUUUGUUUCCUCUUUGAAUCCUAG
ensembl:lncRNA